GAUGAACGCUGGCGGCGUGCUUAACACAUGCAAGUCGAGCGAAGCACCUAAGAAAGAUUCUUCGGAUGAAUUCUUUUGUGACUGAGCGGCGGACGGGUGAGUAACGCGUGGGUAACCUGCCUCAUACAGGGGGAUAACAGUUAGAAAUGACUGCUAAUACCGCAUAAGACCACGGUACCGCAUGGUACAGUGGUAAAAACUCCGGUGGUAUGAGAUGGACCCGCGUCUGAUUAGCUAGUUGGUGGGGUAACGGCCUACCAAGGCGACGAUCAGUAGCCGACCUGAGAGGGUGACCGGCCACAUUGGGACUGAGACACGGCCCAAACUCCUACGGGAGGCAGCAGUGGGGAAUAUUGCACAAUGGGGGAAACCCUGAUGCAGCGACGCCGCGUGAAGGAUGAAGUAUUUCGGUAUGUAAACUUCUAUCAGCAGGGAAGAA
rnacentral:rRNA from 1 species